rnacentral:rRNA from 1 species
GACAGAGGGUGCGAACGUUGUUCGGAAUUACUGGGCGUAAAGCGCAUGUAGGCGGCAGCGCAAGUCGGGCGUGAAAUCCCACGGCUCAACCGUGGAAGUGCACUCGAAACUGCGCAGCUAGAGUCCUGGAGAGGAAGGUGGAAUGCUUGGUGUAGAGGUGAAAUUCGUAGAUAUCAAGCGGAACACCGGUGGCGAAGGCGGCCUCUGGACAGUGAC